rnacentral:rRNA from 1 species
UACGUAGGGUGCAGGCGUUAAUCGGAAUUACUGGGCGUAAAGCGUGCGCAGGCGGUCUUUUAAGUCAGAUGUGAAAUCCCCGGGCUUAACCUGGGAACUGCGUUUGAAACUGAAAGGCUAGAGUCCGGAAGGGGCGAGUGGAGUUCCUGGUGUAGCGGUGAAAUGCGCAGAUAUCAGGAGGAACACCGGUGGCGAAGGCGGUUCUCUGGGAAUAUCCUGACGCUGAGGAGCGAAAGUGUGGGGAGCGAACAGG